rnacentral:lncRNA from 1 species
CCCCCUUCUAGAUCUAUUGUGCCUACUGGGAACUAACAAUUGGUAUCAAAGCAGGUUCUCAUGCUAUAUUCAAAAGCUAAUCGCUUUGAGUCUGAUCCCAGGCACAAACAUUGUUCUAAACUUAGUUUAGUAGUAAGUAACUUGUUAUAUGCAGAUGAGCUCACACGUUGGAAAUACUGUGUAUAGGUAAAUGUGUAUAUACACCUGAAGCUGCUCAGAUUGGUC